AAACUCUGACCCAGCGACGCCGCGUGAGGGAUGAAGGCCUUCGGGUUGUAAACCUCUUUCAGUAGGGAAGAAGCGAAAGUGACGGUACCUACAGAAGAAGCACCGGCUAACUAUGUGCCAGCAGCCGCGGUAAUACAUAGGGUGCAAGCGUUGUCCGGAAUUAUUGGGCGUAAAGAGCUCGUAGGUGGUUAGAUACGUCGGAUGUGAAAAUCAGGGGCUCAACCCCUGACCUGCAUUCGAUACGGUCUAGCUAGAGUGUGGUAGGGGAGACUGGAAUUCCU
rnacentral:rRNA from 1 species